rnacentral:rRNA from 1 species
AGAUUGAACGCUGGCGGCAUGCCUUACACAUGCAAGUCGAACGGCAGCACGGGGGCAACCCUGGUGGCGAGUGGCGAACGGGUGAGUAAUGCAUCGGAACGUGCCCAGUAGUGGGGGAUAACUAGUCGAAAGAUUAGCUAAUACCGCAUACGACCUACGGGUGAAAGCGGGGGAUUCGCAAGAACCUCGCGCUAUCGGAGCGGCCGAUGUCUGAUUAGCUAGUUGGACGGGUAAAAGCCCACCAAGGCUUCGGAUCAGUAGCUGGUCUGAGAGGACGACCAGCCACACU